rnacentral:Y_RNA from 1 species
GGCUGGUCUGAAUGCAGUCAUGUUUACAACUAACUGAUCACAACCAAUACUGAUUUCUUUGUUCCUUCUCCACUCCACUGCCUCAUUAGGCUAGCCUUAA